rnacentral:rRNA from 1 species
UGGGGAAUAUUGCGCAAUGGGCGAAAGCCUGACGCAGCGACGCCGCGUGGGGGAUGACGGCCUUCGGGUUGUAAACCUCUUUCAGCAGGGACGAAGCGAAAGUGACGGUACCUGCAGAAGAAGCACCGGCCAACUACGUGCCAGCAGCCGCGGUAAUACGUAGGGUGCAAGCGUUGUCCGGAAUUAUUGGGCGUAAAGAGCUCGUAGGCGGUUUGUUGCGUCGGCUGUGAAAUCCCGAGGCUCAACCUCGGGUCUGCAGUCGAUACGAGCAAACUAGAGUGUUGCAGGGGAGACUGGAAUUCCUGGUGUAGCGGUGAAAUGCGCAGAUAUCAGGAGGAACACCGGUGGCGAAGGCGGGUCUCUGGGCAGCAACUGACGCUGAGGAGCGAAAGCGUGGGGAGCGAACAGG